UUGAACGCUGGCGGAAUGCUUUACACAUGCAAGUCGAGCGGCAGCGCGGGGGCAACCCUGGCGGCGAGCGGCGAACGGGUGAGUAAUGUAUCGGAACGUACCCAGUCGUGGGGGAUAACUAUCCGAAAGGAUAGCUAAUACCGCAUACGUCCUGAGGGAGAAAGCGGGGGAUCGCAAGACCUCGCGCGAUUGGAGCGGCCGAUAUCGGAUUAGCUAGUUGGUGAGGUAAAGGCUCACCAAGGCGACGAUCCGUAGCUGGUCUGAGAGGACGACCAGCCACACUGGAACUGAGACACGGUCCAGACUCCUACGGGAGGCAGCAGUGGGGAAUUUUGGACAAUGGGGGCAACCCUGAUCCAGCCAUUCCGCGUGAGUGAAGAAGGCCUUCGGGUUGUAAAGCUCUUUCAGCAGGAACGAAACGGUGGCCCCUAAUACGGGCUACUAAUGACGGUACCUGAAGAAGAAGCACCGGCUAACUACGU
rnacentral:rRNA from 1 species